CAAUAGCGUAUAUUAAAGUUGUUGCAGUUAAAAAGCUCGUAGUCGGAUUUCGGGGCAGCCUGGCUGGUCCGCCGCAAGGCGAGUACUGGUCAGCCGCCCUUCCUCUCGAAAGCCCCGACUGCUCUUUAUUGCAGUGGUCGGGUAGUUCGGGACGUUUACUUUGAAAAAAUUAGAGUGUUCAAGGCAGGCCUACGCCUGAAUACAUUAGCAUGGAAUAAUGGAAGAGGACCUCGGUCCUAUUUUGUUGGUUUCCAGGACCGAAGUAAUGAUUAAGAGGGACAGUUGGGGGCAUUCGUAUUUAAUUGUCAGAGGUGAAAUUCUCGGAUUUAUGAAAGACGAACAACUGCGAAAGCAUUUGCCAAGGAUGUUUUCAUUAA
rnacentral:rRNA from 1 species